rnacentral:rRNA from 1 species
AACAAACGCUGGCGACAUGCCUAACACAUGCAAGUCGAACGAGACCUUCGGGUCUAGUGGCGCACGGGUGCGUAACGCGUGGGAACCUGCCCUUAGGUUCGGAAUAACUCCCCGAAAGGGGUGCUAAUACCGGAUAAUGUCUUCGGACCAAAGAUUUAUCGCCUUUGGAUGGGCCCGCGUUGGAUUAGCUAGUUGGUAGGGUAAAAGCCUACCAAGGCGACGAUCCAUAGCUGGUCUGAGAGGAUGAUCAGCCACACUGGGACUGAGACACGGCCCAGACUCCUACGGGAGGCAGCAGUGGGGAAUAUUGGACAAUGGGCGAAAGCCUGAUCCAGCAAUGCCGCGUGAGUGAUGAAGGCCUUAGGGUUGUAAAGCUCUUUUACCCGGGAUGAUAAUGACAGUACCGGGAGAAUAAGCUCCGGCUAACUCCGUG